CCUACGGGAGGCAGCAGUGAGGAAUAUUGGUCAAUGGGCUUACGCCUGAACCAGCCAAGUCGCGUGAGGGAAGACUGCCCUAUGGGUUGUAAACCUCUUUUGUCAGGGAGCAACGCCGGCUACGUGUAGCCGGACUGAGAGUACCUGAAGAAAAAGCAUCGGCUAACUCCGUGCCAGCAGCCGCGGUAAUACGGAGGAUGCGAGCGUUAUCCGGAUUUACUGGGUUUAAAGGGAGCGUAGACGGUUAUGUAAGUCUGGAGUUAAAGCCCGGGGCCCAACCCCGGGACCGCUUUGGAAAUUGUCGAUCUGGAGUACAGGAGGGGCAGGCGGAAUUCCUGGUGUAGCGGUGAAAUGCGUAGAUAUCAGGAGGAACACCGGCGGCGAAGGCGGCCUGCUGGACUCAAACUGACGUUGAGGCUCGAAAGCGUGGGGAGCAAACAGGAUUAGAUACCCGGGUAGUC
rnacentral:rRNA from 1 species